ensembl:antisense
UGUCAUGUUCUUGAGUAUUUUUUUACAAAGCCAGGCCUGGUUGAUGACUGCAUAUCAAGUGUGGCUGUCUUCUGAAGUACUCUGUUUCAUCAAUAGCCGUGGGGAGGAGGGAGAACUAGAUAGACCAGAUGACCGCAAAACGUGAGAGGCUUGUUUCUCAUGUCGCCUGGAAAGGAUGUAGGGAUCCUUGGCAAAGGCCUCCCCUGGUGCUCCUUUCUUCUCCUCAGAGCCCUCCGUGGACAGAGGCAAUGUGGGUGGAGGAUGUAAACUGGAAAGGGCAGGAGGCAAGGAGUGGACCAUUUGGAUCCCACCAACUG